rnacentral:rRNA from 1 species
UACAGAGGUCUCAAGCGUUGUUCGGAUUCAUUGGGCGUAAAGGGCGCGUAGGCGGCGGGGUAAGUCUGGUGUGAAAUCUCGGAGCUCAACUCCGAAAUUGCACUGGAUACUGCUCUGCUAGAGGGCUGGAGAGGAGAUCGGAAUUCACGGUGUAGCAGUGAAAUGCGUAGAUAUCGUGAGGAAGACCAGUGGCGAAGGCGGAUCGCUGGACAGCUCCUGACGCUGAGGCGCGAAGGCUAGGGGAGCAAACGGG